rnacentral:antisense_RNA from 1 species
UUUUAUUUCUGUGCUGAGCUUCUUGCUGCUUCCUGCUGGGAAAAUGUUAGUGGCGGAGUCACACCCAGUUUACUAAUUGUUUAACUGCAAAGCUCGACUCUGGAAAUAAAAAAGGAAUGAGAGCAGAAGUGGAGACUUUAUAAAGAAAGUGAAUGGGGAUCAAAAAGGAUCCAGCUCCAGCUCCUGGAAGCUUACCCCACCCCACCAAAGAGAACCUGGAUGGAACCCUCGUCCAUCAGGAAUAAACUGGAGCCCAAGGAAAUGAAGGAAUCAAAUGGGGACCAAGUGACCUGUCCACACAAAAGCCAUCUGAUGAGUACUUCUACUCCCUGCUCGCAGCCCACCUUCAGCUACACAGAUUUGCACGGCCCCUUGCUUCUGCCAUAUGGGAUCCAGCCUGACAGCAGCGAAUGAGUGCACAGAUUUCAAGUAGAGGAAAUCCCCAGGAAAUGGCAAGGGACAGUAUUAGGAAUCAACAAAG